rnacentral:rRNA from 1 species
AAAAGAAACUAACAAGGAUUCCCCUAGUAGCGGCGAGCGAAGCGGGAAGAGCUCAAAUUUAUAAUCUGGCGCUUUCAGCGUCCGAGUUGUAAUCUCUAGAAGUGUUUUCCGCGUUGGACCGCACAUAAGUCUGUUGGAAUACAGCGGCACAGUGGUGAGACCCCCGUUCACGGUGCGGAUGCCCAAUGCUUUGUGAUACACUUUCGAAGAGUCGAGUUGUUUGGGAAUGCAGCUCAAAUUGGGUGGUAAAUUCCAUCUAAAGCUAAAUAUUGGCGAGAGACCGAUAGCGAACAAGUACCGUGAGGGAAAGAUGAAAAGCACUUUGGAAAGAGAGUUAACAGUACGUGAAAUUGUUGGAAGGGAAACGCUUGAAGUCAGACUUGCUAUUCGGGGCUUGCUCCGAGUUGCAGGCCAGCAUCAGUUUUUCGGGGCGGAAAAUCACGGAUUGAAGGUAGCAGUUUCGGCUGUGUUAUAGCUUUCCGUUGGAUACGUCCUGGGGGACUGAGGAACGCAGUGUGCUUUUAGCGAGGGCUUCGGCUCUUUCACACUUAGGAUGCUGGUGGAAUGGCUUUAAACGACCCG